rnacentral:rRNA from 1 species
GUCUUAAUGAAUAAUUUGUUAAGUCUGGUCUGCUCACUGAAUUAUUUUAAAGAGCCGCAGUAAUUUAACUGUGCAAAGGUAGCAUAAUCAAUUGUUUUUUAAAUGGAAACUAGUAUGAAUGAUUUGAUGAAAUGAAUACUUUUUUAAUUUAAUUAGCUGAAGUUGAAGUCUAAGUUAAAAUUCUUAGGUGUCAUUAAAAGACGAGAAGACCCUAUAAAGUUUUAUUUACUUAUAUGUUUGUACAUGGCUUGUAAAUUUAAUUGGGGUGAUUUUGUAAUAUGAUUAACUUAAUUUGGUUUAACCAAGUAUAUUUGAAGGAUUUGUUGAUCUGAAAUUUUCUAGAAUAAGAUUAAAUUACUUUAGGGAUAACAGCGUAAUUUUAAUUAAGAGUUCAUAUCUAUAUUAAAGGUUGCGACCUCGAUGUUGAAUUAAGAUUUUCUAUUGGAGUAGAAGUUAAUAGAGCUAGUCUGUUCGACUAUAAAUUCU